rnacentral:rRNA from 1 species
GGCGCACGGGUGAGUAACGCGUGGGAACCUGCCUUUUUCUGCGGGAUAACGGUUGGAAACGACCGCUAAUACCGCAUACGCCCUACGGGGGAAAGGUCCGCCGGAGAAAGAGGGGCCCGCGUCUGAUUAGCUAGUUGGUAGGGUAAUGGCCUACCAAGGCGACGAUCAGUAGCUGGUCUGAGAGGAUGAUCAGCCACACUGGGACUGAGACACGGCCCAGACUCCUACGGGAGGCAGCAGUGGGGAAUAUUGGACAAUGGGGGCAACCCUGAUCCAGCAAUGCCGCGUGUGUGAUGAAGGCCUUAGGGUUGUAAAGCACUUUCACUGGUGAAGAUGAUGACGGUAACCAGAGAAGAAGCCCCGGCUAACUUCGUGCCAGCAGCCGCGGUAAUACGAAGGGGGCGAGCGUUGUUCGGAAUUACUGGGCGUAAAGGGCGC